CUACGGGCCGCUGCAGUGGGGAAUUUUGGACAAUGGGCGCAAGCCUGAUCCAGCCAUUCCGCGUGAGUGAAGAAGGCCUUCGGGUUGUAAAGCUCUUUCGCAAGGGAAGAAAACUUACUUUCUAAUAAAGAGUGAGGUUGACGGUACCUUGAUAAGAAGCACCGGCUAACUACGUGCCAGCAGCCGCGGUAAUACGUAGGGUGCGAGCGUUAAUCGGAAUUACUGGGCGUAAAGCGUGCGCAGGCGGUUUUGUAAGUCAGAUGUGAAAUCCCCGAGCUCAACUUGGGAACUGCGUUUGAAACUACAAGACUAGAAUAUGUCAGAGGGGGGUAGAAUUCCACGUGUAGCAGUGAAAUGCGUAGAGAUGUGGAGGAAUACCAAUGGCGAAGGCAGCCCCCUGGGAUAAUAUUGACGCUCAUGCACGAAAGCGUGGGGAGCAAACAGGAUUAGAUACCCGGGUAGUC
rnacentral:rRNA from 1 species